UACGAAGGGGGCUAGCGUUGUUCGGAAUUACUGGGCGUAAAGGGCGCGUAGGCUGUGCUGUAAGUCAGGCGUGAAAGCCCCGGGCUCAACCCGGGAAGUGCACUCGAUACUGCCACGCUAGAGUAUCGGAGAGGUUGGUGGAAUUCUCGGUGUAGAGGUGAAAUUCGUAGAUAUCGAGAGGAACACCGGUGGCGAAGGCGGCCAACUGGACGAAUACUGACGCUGAGACUCGAAAGCGUGGGGAGCAAACAGG
rnacentral:rRNA from 1 species